GCUCAAAAGAUAUUGUGUCAGUGAAAGUUCUUUGGAAAGGUCCGUCGGGUGAAGAAACCACUUGGGAACCCGAAGAAACUAUACGUGGCAAGUAUCCACACUUAUUUGAAAAUCAAGAUACGAUGCCGGAUGCUUCACAUGCUUCUCCCGGGAUGGUUGGAGAGCACGCUUAGUUGAUUCAUCGUAACAAUUCCCGAGCAGCUGAGUAGGAAGCUGCAAGUAGAUCCGAAGUCCAUCAUUUCUAUUUUUGGUAGGCCUCCUUGAUGGAUGGCUUUUUAUUUAUGUAAAUAUUCAGUCAAUGUAUCUGCAGCUAUAUGGAGUUAGAGUGCCUCAUUUUGAGUUGUAAAGUUAUGUAAAAAUUGUCUUUUUGAGCUUCUGGAUGAUGUGACAGGUUUAUGGACAGGAUUCAUAUCUUGGUAACGUUAAAAAUACAAGGGAUACUCUGUCCAAAUUUUUGUAAAUAUUAUUUUGAUGAAAAAAAUGGAUAUCUGUAA
rnacentral:lncRNA from 1 species